CAGGAGGUUGCAAACGUUGUUCGGAAUCACUGGGCAUAAAGCGCACGUAGGCGGUCUGUUAAGUCAGGUCGUGAAAGCCCCCGGCUCAACCGGGGAACAGCAUUUGAUACUGGCAGACUCGAGGAUGUAGGGGUGAGUGGAACUCCAGGUGGAGCGGUGAAAUGCGUAGAUAUCUGGAGGAACACCGGUGGCGAAAGCGGCUCACUGGACCAUAACUGACGCUGAGGUGCGAAAGCUAGGGUAGCAAACGGGAUUAGAUACCCCGGUAGUCCUAGCCGUAAACGAUGGGUACUUGGCAGCGGGAGAACCUAUGUCUCUCUCUGCCGGAGCUAAUGUGUUAAGUACCCCGCCUGGGGAGUACGCUCGCAAGGGUA
rnacentral:rRNA from 1 species